CAGGUCUUGACAUCCCAUUGACCGGUCCGUAACGGGACCUUCCCUUCGGGGCAAUGGAGACAGGUGGUGCAUGGUUGUCGUCAGCUCGUGUCGUGAGAUGUUGGGUUAAGUCCCGCAACGAGCGCAACCCUUAUCCUUAGUAGCCAGCACGUAAUGGUGGGCACUCUAGGGAGACUGCCAGGGAUAACCUGGAGGAAGGCGGGGAUGACGUCAAAUCAUCAUGCCCCUUAUGAUCUGGGCUACACACGUGCUACAAUGGUGACUACAAAGGGACGCAACCUCGCGAGAGCAAGCAAAUCCCAGAAAGGUCAUCCCAGUUCGGAUUGUAGUCUGCAACUCGACUACAUGAAGCUGGAAUCGCUAGUAAUCGCGAAUCAGAAUGUCGCGGUGAAUACGUUCC
rnacentral:rRNA from 1 species